rnacentral:rRNA from 1 species
GCUCAGGAUGAACGCUAGCUACAAGCUUAACACAUGCAAGUCGAGGGGUAGCAGGGUAGCAAUACCGCUGACGACCGGCGCACGGGUGAGUAACACGUAUCCAACCUUCCCAUAACUCGGGGAUAGCCUUUCGAAAGAAAGAUUAAUACCCGAUAGUACUUAUAUAGGGCAUCCUACAUAAGUUAAAGAUUUAUUGGUUAUGGAUGGGGAUGCGUUCCAUUAGAUAGUUGGUGAGGUAACGGCUCACCAAGUCUUCGAUGGAUAGGGGUUCUGAGAGGAAGGUCCCCCACAUUGGUACUGAGACACGGACCAAACUCCUACGGGAGGCAGCAGUGAGGAAUAUUGGUCAAUGGGCGAGAGCCUGAACCA